CACUGGUGCUUGCACGGCUCUCCAAGGAACUACAUUGUUGCCGCCUGACAGCACAGUGCCUUGUUCGUCUCCUGCGUAUGCGGGGUGAGGUGAGAGUUUUAUUUAAAGCACAGCAGAUAAACAUUUCAUAAAGAUCCACAUGAAGCUGGGCUGUUACAUUGGGGCGUGCACGAGUCCUUGGGCCAUGAAAUAGCUCCUCGUGCAAUACUUUAUUGAUGAUUAUAAUGGCCUGAAAGCAAAAUAAUUCUAGUGUUUGUCUGUGAUCUUGAGUGGGUAAACAUACUUAUAUAAAUUAAAACAAAUCUUAUCUGUCUUAAUAUCAAUUGCUAACGGUAGCAUCUUGCAAGACUGAUGAUGGAAGGUCAUUAUUUACUUUUUAUGCUUUAUUUUUCACUAAAAAACAGGAAACGUAUGUGCAAUAAUCACGAGUCGAGUUUGCCAGGUAACAGCUAAGCUAAAUACUAUCCGAGGACACUCACUCUAUUCAAUUUAACUUGGGCUUGCCUGGAUCGUUUGGCGGAGUGCCACUGCCACUGCCACAAGCAGAUGCUCCCGAUAAUAAUAUUUCAUUUGGUAAUGCAUUGAUAGCAUUGACAAAGACGAUUGUAUUCCUCCAUCCAUUUUACCGGCCAACGUAAUCUGUACACGUGUAAAUAAGCUAUCUGGUCAACGGGGCCAGAUGGAACAUGCCCAACUUUGUUCAUAUUUUUUUGUCAAUUUACCAUACAGGAAAAUAAUACAGUAUAGGAAAUCUUAAAAGCACAUAACCCUUUGAGAAGUCGUGCAGCUUUGGUGUCUGUCGUCAAUUUUUUCCACAUCAGUUGUCUCGAUUGUUUGAAGACAUAUCAAUGCAUAUCCUUGUUUUAUUUCUGAAUUGUCAUAUAUCAUAAAUCAUUUGACAUUCGGAAUGAGAUUUUUUGCUCUAUUGGUACACGGCAUCUGUAAUUCUGAUUGUGAAUGUGGUAGCGACCUUAAAUCACGUAGCUGUGGCAUCAUGGGUAAAGACAAAGAACUGAUCUCGUAAUUGGCUGAUAUGGAGGGCGGGACACCCAUUGUGAACAAUGAAUCAAAACAACAACUAAAAUGGACUGACUACCAACUUUUAAAAUGGGAAGAUCUUGCCUAACCGUUGAACUGUGUUAAAACUUUCUAAAAAGCAUAUUUCUUCUAUUAUUGUUAUUAUUACGUCUAUUGAAAUAUUAGAAUCAUUUCAUUAAAAAAAAUUGAAGUGCAACUCUUACAUAAUGCUCUUUUAAAAUCAGGUGCCUCACACUCAGGUUCAAAAAUAUGUGAUUACGACAGCCUUAAUCAUAAUAAUAAUAAUAAUAAUAUUAAUAUUAAUAAUAAAGAUGCACCGAUACCGAUACUAGUAUCGGCAGGGGGCGCCGAUCCGGCCCGAAAUGGUGGUAUAAGUAUCGGUGAGUACCAACAAAGACGGCGCCGAUACCAUUUACCGGUCCAUUAUUAUAACGUUUGACCGCAGCCUUUUUUUUUUCUCCUGGUGCUCACUACACUCUGUCUCUGUGUUGUGUAAUGACACGUGAACACCAAGCAGCUAUCACUAUUGGCCUGCUCCAGAACGGACCAAUAGCCACUCCCGACCAAUGGCAAGGGCGCUUUUUCAUAUGAAGGAAAAAUAAACCAGAAUAAAUGGCGGCGGUCGGGAAAUAUUUCAAAAUACAAAUCCCGUCGACUAAAAUCAAUGUGUAACCCACGUUACUAUGAUAGAGAACACUGAACAUGAUUCACACGGAAAUUUACUGAGCCAGGAAUUAUAAUAAGAAAAAUAUCAACUCAAACGAAAGUUGAUAUAAAAUUAGUGAGGAAAAAAUAGGUUAUUUAAAAAAAAAAUAAUCGUUUGAUUUCAUUACUUUUUAAAAGGCAACGACCUAGAAGCCAAUGGAAAGUUGCGAUAUUUCUCUCCCUUAACCAAUGAGCGAGCAGGUUCUAGGCCAUUGGUAGGAUGACAGGAGCGAACCGGUCUUCUCUCUCUCUUUUACUUCCUCAUCGCGAGCUAGUGAAGACGCAGCUUCUUUGGUCUGUCUGACAGUUACAAACAUACUGCGGGAAAAAAAAAAAAAACGGAUUCAACUACAGUCUUUGUGCGUCAUUGGAAUUGAGGGCAGCUCGUGACAGCGCGGUUUGGCCAACCGUUAACUGCGUGCCGCCAUCACCUUGUUCUGGAAGGCAGUUUGUGACAGCGCGGGUUGGCUAACAACCGUUAGCUACGUGCCCUCAUCACCUUGUUCUGGCCGGGUCUUUUAUGCGGGAGUCGCCUUUCAUUGAGGACAUCGUGGGAGAUCGCUUGUGAAGCUUUUUUUUUUUUUUUUUUUUUUCCUUUUAUUUUUCCGCUCUCGACCUGUCGAGCCACAGGAGUGGUUGUCGAAGGAGGGACCGGUGGCGAGCUAACCCAAUUUUCGAACCUGAACUGGACACUUUUUUUUGUUUGAGCUGGGAAUCUGGUAGGAACUUUACAUAAUACUCAACAGUGAUUUACAUGUGAGCUCACAUAGCGUUUUGGGACUGGAAUAAGACGUUGAAGGGAAAACACUAAAUGCACUUAGUAAAGUUAGGGGGUGUAAAGUAACAGUUUUUUGGAUAAAUUGAGCAUUUGUUUCAUGCAUUUAACUUUUCUUUUCAAUGUACAUAUUGUAAAUAGUUUAAUAUUUUUGUUUUUUUAUUACACACAAAAACCCCACAAUUAUCUGUGUCUUGAGUUUUAUUUGCUUCUGCCGGGUGCACGCUGUCUCCUGUGAGUCGAGUCUAGCUUCUGAUGCACUGGUCCAAUAAAUAAACACGUUAUAAUCAGACAACGUAAAGUGAUACAAGGUAAACUUUGUCACUUGUUAACCACCGGGUUACAAAUGGCUGCAUGCAAGAUUUGCGGCCUGAAAGUUUCGAGAUGUGGAGUUAAAUUGGCCAGUUUCAAUACCUCGAACCUAAUAAAACAUUUGAAGACGAAACGUGAACGAACACAACGAGUUUGAGCCUGCAAGAGCAGGACUGCUAUCCAAAGGAAGGGCGCUGGACCGUUGCAACAAUCUCUGGUAAGUUCACUACGUCAACUUUACUUGUCUUUUACUUAAAGAAAUGCUGCAGUAAUUUGGGAACUGUUUCCAAAGUAGGGUUGCCACCUUUCAGAAAUAGAAAUAAGGGACUCCCCCCCAUCCCGAAAAAAGGAGGCUAAUAGAGAGACGGGAUGCUGUGGUCAAUUAUUAUUACUUAUAAUUGUUAGCGUCCGCAAAUGCGGAAACCAAGUUGGACCUCGAAGCGGACAACAAGCGGGGGAUACAUACAAGGGUUUAAUGAUUGCAAACAAAAAAUAACACGCGAUCGCGGGAUAGUAGAAAUAACAAAAGGAGUCUGUGACAGCAGGUCGACGGAGCUCAGUACUACAAACGCGAAGGUUAACUAAGACGAUAGGCAGCCAAAAAGCCAAAAUAAAAACACUCAAAUACCUGCAUAGGGUAGCGGUUACAAACAAGUGCAGCACACUAACAGAAAAAAACCCAAUGCAGGGGCGUAACAAGCAAAUGUAGUGAGACUAUAGUGCGAGAUGUCAAAUGGCGAUCAGCAAGGCAAAUAUCUCGGCAGCCUUCUCUGAGAUCACCCGUGCUUAAAUGCUGCGUUGAUGAGCCUGCAUUGGAUUCAGGUGCGACAUCAGGAACGCCCCCACUAACAGCCCAGCAACAAAACACAAUCUAACCAGCAGCAGAAUGUGACAAUAACUUCAUGAAAGUUGCACUGUUUGGCCUUUGAGAGGUUUAAAAAAGUUUACUCAGUUCAUUCAGAGUUUAUUAUUAUGAAUUUAUUUUUACUUUAUUACUGUUGGGCUAGUAUUAUACUUUGUACUAAUCUUUUUCCUAUUUUGCAAAGGUAAGCAACAGCCUGACAAAGCUUUGAUAGCAAUGAUUUA